CCAUGCCUCCACCUUUUCUAGGUUGUGCCAUGGAGCUGCAGGGUAGAGGAAUGAGGCUGGCGAUGGGAGGGAAGAGCAGGCCGGCCCUGGUUCAUCAUGGAGAAUGCUUGAAAAUUAGGCGUGGCUGCUCUCUCUGCUUCGCCUCUUCUUCCAUGGACCAUGUAUCUGUGGUUGCCUACAGGGUGGCAAAAUCGAGGGCUGCAGCUAGAGCAUCAAAAGUGGAACUCGAUUGUCCACUAUCAAGGCUUUGGUAGCAUAAGAAGUUGAUUCAGUGGUAAAUGCAUCAGGAGUUCCUACUUCCAUCUUACCCUAGGCUUGAUAUAAAAGGGUCUUGCUGGAUAGUGAUCCUGCACCACACCUCAGUCAAUAAGUUCAGUUUUGUAGAAUUUACUAGCAUGUUUUCUAAUGGAUGACUGAAGCACAGCUUGCUCAGAAUGCUAUAUACGUCGCCAACCUGGGUUUGGGUGACUCGACGCUGCAGCAGGUGGAGCAGAAGUGGAUGCAGUCUUCAUGUUAAUCACUGGUUCUUCUCUCUAUUUCUUUUCUUUCUAUUCCUGUAAUUUAUUAUCAUGUGAUUGGUGA